rnacentral:rRNA from 1 species
AUACGUAGGUGGCGAGCGUUGUCCGGAUUUACUGGGCGUAAAGGGAGCGUAGGCGGAUUUUUAAGUGAGAUGUGAAAUACUCGGGCUUAACCUGAGUGCUGCAUUUCAAACUGGAAGUCUAGAGUGCAGGAGAGGAGAAUGGAAUUCCUAGUGUAGCGGUGAAAUGCGUAGAGAUUAGGAAGAACACCAGUGGCGAAGGCGAUUCUCUGGACUGUAACUGCGCUGAGGCUCGAAAGCGUGGGGAGC